rnacentral:tRNA from 1 species
GGGGCUGUGGCUCAGUGGUAGAGCGCUCACCUAGCAUAUGUGACAAGCUGGGUUCAAUCCUCAGCACCA